rnacentral:rRNA from 1 species
GACGAACGCUGGCGGCGUGCUUAACACAUGCAAGUCGAACGGAAAGGCCCUGCUUUUGUGGGGUGCUCGAGUGGCGAACGGGUGAGUAACACGUGAGUAACCUGCCCUUGACUUUGGGAUAACUUCAGGAAACUGGGGCUAAUACCGGAUAGGAGCUCCUGCUGCAUGGUGGGGGUUGGAAAGUUUCGGCGGUUGUGGAUGGACUCGCGGCUUAUCAGCUUGUUGGUGGGGUAGUGGCUUACCAAGGCUUUGACGGGUAGCCGGCCUGAGAGGGUUACCGGCCACCAUGGGACUGAGAGACGGCGCAGACUCGUACGGGAGGCAGCAGGCGGGAGUAUUGCACAACGGGCGGAAGCCUGAUGCAGCAACGCUGCGUGCGGGAUGACGGCUUUCGGGUUGUAAACCGCUUUCGCCGGUGACGAAGCGUGAGUGACGGUAAUGGGUAAAGAAGCACCGGCUAACUACGUG